UACACUCCUGCGGGAGGCAGCAGUGGGGAAUUUUGGACAAUGGGCGAAAGCCUGAUCCAGCAAUGCCGCGUGAGUGAAGAAGGCCUUCGGGUUGUAAAGCUCUUUUGUCAGGGAAGAAACGGUGAGAGCUAAUAUCUUUUGCUAAUGACGGUACCUGAAGAAUAAGCACCGGCUAACUACGUGCCAGCAGCCGCGGUAAUACGUAGGGUGCAAGCGUUAAUCGGAAUUACUGGGCGUAAAGCGUGCGCAGGCGGUUUUGUAAGUCUGAUGUGAAAUCCCCGGGCUCAACCUGGGAAUUGCAUUGGAGACUGCAAGGCUAGAAUCUGGCAGAGGGGGGUAGAAUUCCACGUGUAGCAGUGAAAUGCGUAGAUAUGUGGAGGAACACCGAUGGCGAAGGCAGCCCCCUGGGUCAAGAUUGACGCUCAUGCACGAAAGCGUGGGGAGCAAACAGGAUUAGAUACCCGAGUAGUCCC
rnacentral:rRNA from 1 species